GACGUAGGGCGCGAGCGUUGUCCGGAUUUAUUGGGCGUAAAGAGCUCGUAGGCGGUUUGUCGCGUCGUCUGUGAAAACCCACGGCUCAACUGUGGGCUUGCAGGCGAUACGGGCAGGCUAGAGUUCGGUAGGGGAGACUGGAAUUCCUGGUGUAGCGGUGAAAUGCGCAGAUAUCAGGAGGAACACCGGUGGCGAAGGCGGGUCUCUGGGCCGAUACUGACGCUGAGGAGCGAAAGCGUGGGGAGCGAACAGG
rnacentral:rRNA from 1 species